rnacentral:rRNA from 1 species
UGGGGAAUUUUGGACAAUGGGCGCAAGUCUGAUCCAGCCAUGCCGCGUGGAUGAUGAAGGCCUUAGGGUUGUAAAAUCCUUUCGCCGAGGACGAUAAUGACGGUACUCGGAGAAGAAGCUCCGGCUAACUUCGUGCCAGCAGCCGCGGUAAUACGAAGGGGGCUAGCGUUGUUCGGAUUUACUGGGCGUAAAGCGCGUGUAGGCGGGUCGUUAAGUUGGGGGUGAAAUCCCGAGGCUCAACCUCGGAACUGCCUUCAAAACUGGCGACCUGGACCUAAGUAGAGGCAAGUGGAAUUGCGAGUGUAGAGGUGAAAUUCGUAGAUAUUGGGAAGAGCACCAGUGGCGAAGGCGGCUAACUGGUCCGGUACUGACGCUGAGGUGCGAAAGCGUGGGGAGCAAACAGGAUUAGAUACCCUUGUAGUCCCUGAGCGGGCUGGCAAGGCGCAU